GACGAACGCUGGCGGCGUGCUUAACACAUGCAAGUCGAACGGAAAGGCCCUGCUUUUGUGGGGUGCUCGAGUGGCGAACGGGUGAGUAACACGUGAGUAACCUGCCCUUGACGUUGGGAUAACUUCAGGAAACUGGGGCUAAUACCGGAUAGGAGCUCCUGCUGCAUGGUGGGGGUUGGAAAGUUUCGGCGGUUGGGGAUGGACUCGCGGCUUAUCAGCUUGUUGGUGGGGUAGUGGCUUACCAAGGCUUUGACGGGUAGCCGGCCUGAGAGGGUGACCGGCCACAUUGGGACUGAGAUACGGCCCAGACUCCUACGGGAGGCAGCAGUGGGGAAUAUUGCACAAUGGGCGGAAGCCUGAUGCAGCAACGCCGCGUGCGGGAUGACGGCCUUCGGGUUGUACACCGCUUUCGCCUGUGACGAAGCGUGAGUGACGGUAAUGGGUAAAGAAGCACCGGCUAACUACGUG
rnacentral:rRNA from 1 species